UUGGAGGGCAAGUCUGGUGCCAGCAGCCGCGGUAAUUCCAGCUCCAAUAGCGUAUAUUAAAGUUGUUGCAGUUAAAAAGCUCGUAGUUGAAUUUCGGGACCAGUAGGUCGGUCAUGCCUAUGGUAUUUACUGGCUUUACUGAUUCCUCCUUCUUGAUGAACUGUAAUGUCAUUAAUUUGGUGUUGCAUGGAAUCAGGACUGUUACUUUGAAAAAAUUAGAGUGUUUAAAGCAGGCAUACGCUUGAAUACAUUAGCAUGGAAUAAUGAAAUAGGACGUUCGAUCCUAUUUUGUUGGUUUCUAGGAUUGACGUAAUGAUUAAUAGGGAUAGUUGGGGGCAUUAGUAUUCAAUUGUCAGAGGUGAAAUUCUUGGAUUUAUUGAAGACUAACUACUGCGAAAGCAUUUGCCAAGGAUGUUUUCAUUAAUCAAGAGCGAAAGUUAGGGGAUCGAAGACGAUCAGAUACCGUCGUAGUCUUAACCAUAAACUAUGCCGACUAGGGAUCGGAUGAUGUUAUUUUUAAUGACUCAUUCGGCGCCUUACGGGAAAC
rnacentral:rRNA from 1 species